rnacentral:rRNA from 1 species
CACGUAGGGCGCAAGCGUUGUCCGGAAUUAUUGGGCGUAAAGAGCUCGUAGGCGGUCUGUUGCGUCCGCUGUGAAAACUCGGGGCUUAACCCCGAGCCUGCAGUGGAUACGGGCAGACUAGAGGUAGGUAGGGGAGAAUGGAAUUCCCGGUGUAGCGGUGAAAUGCGCAGAUAUCAGGAGGAACACCGAUGGCGAAGGCAGGUCUCUGGGCUGAAACUGACGCUCAUGCACGAAAGCGUGGGGAGCAAACAGG